GAUGAAGAACGCAGCGAAAUGCGAUAAGUAAUGUGAAUUGCAGAAUUCCGUGAAUCAUCGAAUUUUUGAACGCACAUUGCGCCCCCUGGUAUUCCGGGGGGCAUGCCUGUCCGAGCGUCAUUGCUGCCCUCAAGCACGGCUUGUGUGUUGGGCCUCCGUCCUCCUCCCGGGGGACGGGCCCGAAAGGCAGCGGCGGCACCGCGUCCGGUCCUCGAGCGUAUGGGGCUUCGUCACCCGCUCUUGUAGGCCCGGCCGGCGCUUGCCGACACAUCAAUCUUUUUUCCAGGUUGACCUCGGAUCAGGUAGGGAUACCCGCUGAACUUAAGCAUAUCAAUAAGCGAGGA
rnacentral:misc_RNA from 1 species